UACGAAGGGGGCUAGCGUUGCUCGGAAUUACUGGGCGUAAAGCGCACGUAGGCGGCUUCUUAAGUCGGUGGUGAAAUCCUGGAGCUCAACUCCAGAACUGCCUUCGAUACUGGGAGCUCGAGUCCGGGAGAGGUGAGUGGAACUGCGAGUGUAGAGGUGAAAUUCGUAGAUAUUCGCAAGAACACCAGUGGCGAAGGCGGCUCACUGGCCCGGUACUGACGCUGAGGUGCGAAAGCGUGGGGAGCAAACAGGAUUAGAA
rnacentral:rRNA from 1 species